rnacentral:lncRNA from 8 species
GAACAGGUGAUUAGAAUUCAGGUGAUUGGGAUCUGGAGAGUGAGCUGUGUUCAGGGGAUCUAGGUGUUUGAGAGUGUGAGCUGGAAAGUGAGCUGCGUUCAGGGGAUCUACGUGUUUGAGAGUGUGAGUUGGAAGCAGACAUUCAAGACAAAGGUGUUAAAGUUGGGAGGUCCUUUCUUCAUCUCUGGAGGUGGCAGUUGUUGACUAUGACCAUCCACAGUCAUCAACAUGCUUUUUUUACCCUGAAGCUGUCGAAAAAUACUGUGACUUAUGAGGAUUUUGAAAAAGAUAUGAUGACAUCUCCAACAUAUCCUCUCAAUAUAACUGCAUUUACCCUGAAAAAUGUUUGUCAUAAUCUUCGUCUUCUGAGGAGUAAGAAAUAUCGGACCAAUACGCAGCGUGGUAAGUGUCCAUACUUAUACUUUUAUUUUUUAACCGUGAACACAAACGACAGUCCUGUAAGGCUACACAGCUAUACAAAGAAACAACCACCCACAAACACCCGAGAAAAUAAACCCACUUAAAUAUGGCCUCCAAUUAGAAGCAACGACAACCAGCUGCUUCUAAUUGGAGGUCGUUCCCAAAACUAACAUAGAAAUAGACAAACUAGAAAACCCACAUAGAAAUAGAAAACAUAGAACAUAAACCAAAAACCCCGAAACACACAAAACAAACACACCCCUGCCACGUCCUGAUCAACUACAAUAACAAAAUAACCCCUUUACUGGUCAGGACGUGACAAUGUUUUCCACCACACCGAAGGAGAAGGUGUCUCAACUGGCCAAUCAACGUUAGAGGUGCCCUUGACAAACCAGGCCCAUCGCUCCUCCAGCUUAACUCGACCUUUACCUGCCUGUGGCUUUGCUGGAUCCACUUUGUGCUCUCGUUUUCUGCAAUAAAGCGCCUGAUGUUUCUUCUUUAUUGCCGUGAACUGCGUCUGAGAGGAGCAGGAUUCUAAAAGCUGAAAUUAGGGAAACAUUUUAAUAGUGUACAGGGGCAUCCCAACUGCCUGUGUGCACUCUGGGCUUGUAUAAUUCAACUGAACAGGUCACGCUACAAAACUGUUUUGAGGAGUUAACACAGGCCAGGGGAAAUCUGGAUGGACUAAAAGCUAAAAACCAGCCAGAGACUUAAAUGUAGCAUGUCCAUGGGUAGGGGGCCAGAUCCAAGCCAAAGCAAUGUUAUAAAUUCAAACAGGCAUUGUCUUUCUGCCUUAAGUCUCACUUCCUUAGAAAAACAUUGGAAUUUGUAAUGUUUGUGUUUUAUUUACCGAGUUACCUCAAAAAGCCUGUCUGUUGAAUUGAACAUGACGUUUUAGGAAGGACAAACCCUUCUGAGUAAACACCAAAUUAUGACUGUGCACUCCGCAGUUAGGAAGUCUUCUCUGCCUUGCUCUGCAAGACAUGGACAUUUUAGCUCUAACGCUGUAUAAAUGUUCAAACAGUGUGGGACAGAGUGAUAAGACAUUACUCUUACUUUUCAGCCCUCUGCCUUCUCUUAUAUUGAAAUAUGCUGCAAGGCCUUUGGCACAGUUCAUUAAUACAGGAAGAUCCAGUAUAUCUUGAAUACGUUAUUUGACUUUGAGAAUAUUUGACGGCAGGUAAUUACAGUGAACUGUGUAUGCGGUAAUUACAGGGAACUGUGUAUGCGGUAAUUACAGUGAACUGUGUAUGCGGUCAUUACAGUGAACUGUGUAUGCGGUCAUUACAGUGAACUGUGUAUGAGGUCAUUACAGUGAACUGUGUAUGAGGUCAUUACAGUGAACUGUGUAUAAAGUUGCAUUAACGUCAUUUGAUUUAUUUACACUAUCAAAUUGGAGCCAGGCGUAUAUUUAAGACCAACAGGGGUUAAUUCAGCACCCAGGAGACGGUGUUUCCUGUCACACACUGAGGAAUGAAUAUGUGAGCUGUGUCUCAAGGCCUCCCCAGUGUUAGAAAUCUGACAGUAGACGGGCAGUGCAGCCGGUUGACCCCUGAACUCUCCUGAUGAGAGGGCGAUGUUUGAAGGCGAUGAUAAGGGCUUUAGCCUAGGGAAUCCUGACACUGAAUAAACGUGACGUAGUGUAUUGUAACAGAAGCCAGAUGUGGGGUCGUUCCACUUGCACUGCCACUAACACCUUACAAUAAACUUCUCUCAGACUCCAAACAUUUAACGAAGAAAAUGAUACUGUCUAGUGUGAAAGAGUCAGAGAGUGAAAAGGAGAGGCCCAUUUACAUGUAUUAGUGUGCCCUACCAAGGUGACUGGCUUUAGUUGGUCUUGACAGGGUUUGGAGCACCUGAUCCUGUUUGAGGCCCCCGGUCAUGUUCCGUCCCUGGCUCCCCACGUUGUGAUGUGAUGUCCUCGUUCCGUGGUCUGGCUCAAAUUGAAAUAACAAUUUGCUCCAGAGGCCAUUGCCUCUGUGUUCUGGGGGUCUGUGGAGAGCUGGCUGUGUCGGCAAGCCUUUCCACACUGUUACAGUGCUCGCCCCAGAUUAUUAUAGCACAGAUAGCACUGAGGAAUAAAAGGAAUACAAUGGUCAUUACGGUGCGUGAUGGUCGUGGUGAGUGUAGUAUUUUGAGUUUGUCUCAGGAGGGGCAUGAUUGAUAGUUAGAAGUACAUCACCAGAAAUAAAUGUUUUAAUGUAUUUUCUAAACAGUCAUGAAGAAUACAUUCAGCUGAAGUUGAAGUGACACUUUUCGUUAUAAUCUAGUUGGUCUGUCUGCUCACUAGUAUAAAGACAGCAGCAUGUCAUAUUAUUGACCUUUUCUCACCGCAGUUUUACUGAGACAGUCAAUGGGGACAGGGCAAACUGUACAAAUUCGAAUUAAAGAAUAGAAUUGAGCGGGUAUUGAACACCCUUUCUAAAGACUCCACAAGUAAACAUCAGUAAUGUUUGUUUACCAUGCUUCCUCCUGAUGUACUUUGGGCUUAAAUCCGAUUUCCAAGGCAAACUCAAAAUUGGUGAUGACACUUUUCACAGAACAGCAUCUAAAGUAA